UUUUUUUUUUUUUUUUUGCAUUUUUAGUAGAGACAGGAUUUCUCCAUGUUGGCCAGGCUGGUCUCGAACUCUUGACCUCAAGUGAUCCGACCGCCGUCGGCCUCCUAAAGUGCUGGGAUUGCAGGCGUGAGCCAUCGUGCCCAGCCAAUGACUCAUUUUAUAGAUGGGGAAACAGAGGCUCAGAAAGCUUAAAGAACUUUUCUGAGGUCACACAGCUAUUAAAUAUAACAGCCAUAGUCUGAACCUUGUCUGGCUGACUUUGAGGCCUGGCUCUACACUCUCCUUUGUCCUCCUAAGUCUUUUCUUUUGUUAAAUGUUCUCCUUCUUCCAGUGUCGCUUACCCUGUCCUGCAAGUCCCUACAGGAUGUAGCUCCCCUGCCUCCUGUGACUUCACUGACUGAUGCCAUUGAGUGUCUCUCCAGCACAGAACACACACUCCUGCCACAGAGCCUUUGAACCUGCUGUUCCCUCUUCCUGGAACACUGUGCCCUGGUUAUUUGUGUGCUUCUCUCUGUCCCUUUUUUCCCUGGCUCAGGUGCCUGCACGGUGGCUCGGAGAAGCCUUUCCUGACCCCUUGCCUAAAAUUGUGCUGUUGUGAGUCUUUAUGGUUCCUCCUCACCUUGCUUUGUUUUUCUCCAUUUAAAUCGCUCCAUGGCAGCAGAGGUCACGCUUACAUGUUUAUUUAUUCUUUGUCUCUCCCUCACUAGGCCCUGGGCUCUGUGAGGGCAGUGGCUUCAUCUGUGUAAUUCCCUGAUCUUCCCAGUACCUGGAACAGCGCCCAGCACACAGUAGGACUUUGAUAUCUGUUAAGUGAACAAAGGAUUUUUUUUUUUUUGAGACAGAAUCUUGCUCUGUCACCCAAGCUAGAGUGCAGUGGCGUGAUCCCGGCUCACUGCAACCUCUGCCUCCCAAAUAGGGUUCAAGCAAUUCUCCUGCUUCAGCUUCCCAAGUAGCUGGGAUCACAAGCGCAUGACACCAGGCCCAGCUACUUUUUAAAUUUUUUAGUAGAGACGAGGUUUCACUAUGUUGUUCAGGCUGGUCUCGAACUCCUGGCCUACCUCAAGUAGGUCUGCCUGCCUCAGCCUCCCGAAGUGUUGGGAUUACAGGUGUGAGCCACUACACCUGGCCCAAAUGAAGGAUUUCUGUCCUCGUUCUGCACAAGAGGAGCCUGAGGCUUGGAGGAGCCGCAGGAUGGCAAACUGGACGCUGCUGAGCUCUGAGCCCAGCUCUGGGGCCUGUCCUUCCUGCCAUCAAUACUCGGAAGAGGCCCCACGGAACCCAGGGAGGCCCAGGAGGCAUGGAAGUGGGUGCCGGGAAGUCAGCAGCCUCGCCCUUGACAGCUGGCCAUAGCUGUCAAGUCCCUGGAACCUGGAUUUGGGAGAAAGUGAUAAAGGUGAAAAAGUUGGCCCUCAUUUCCAUGUAGGCCUGCCAGCUCCACUCAAGCCUUGCUACUUACCUGUCCCGACCAGACACAGGACACUUCAAGAUUCCAAGAGAUGGACAGACUCAGAGUGAUAGGGCUUCCAGGCUGGUGCUAAAGGGAAGUGCCAGUCUCCGAGGACAUAUAAGCCAGAAUGCUUAUUUUGUAGUUCAAUCCCCACAAUGAUCCAAGAAGCUGGUAUCUUAAUACCACCUCCCCUUGGCUCUAA
ensembl:lncRNA